CCUUCGUGCCUAUGGCUGCGCCGGCUCGGGUACGGGCGGAAGUUGUUCUUUGAGCUCCGUUCCAGGGCGGUGGGCUUCUGGGCUGUCCAUCAGGGGCUUUUCUUGCGCGACUAGCGGAAGGUAGGAAGACGCGCCUUCGCCUGCGAGUGGGAGCGCCAUGUCGGGACGCGAAGGUGGAAAGAAGAAGCCUUUGAAGCAACCCAAGAAGCAGUUGAAGGAAUUAGAUGAGGAAGAUAAAGCUUUCAAGGAGAAACAGAAGGAGGAGCAGAAGAAACUGGAAGAGUUGAAGGCAAAAGCUGCUGGCAAGGGCCCACUUGCUGGAGUUGGGAUUAAAAAAUCUGGGAAGAAGUAGAGAGUUCUCUGGGACCGUGUGGCAACAGAAAGAGAAUGAUUUCCCUCCCCUUUGAUGCUUAGCAGUAGGAAGAAUUUCCAGGCUAAUGUUGUGGGAAACAUUAAUAUAAGCACCUUUGUACAUUUUGUUCAAACAAAAUAAACUGUUGGUUUGUUUAAUGACUGUUCA